rnacentral:rRNA from 1 species
AUAAUAAUUAGUCUUUUAAUUAAAGGCUGGAAUGAAUGAUUGGACGAGAUAAAUUCUGUCUCAUUAAAAUUAAAAUUUAAAUUUAAUUUUUAAGUUAAAAAGCUUAAAUAAAAUUAGAGGACGAGAAGACCCUAUAGAACUUUAUAAUAUAUAAUUAAUAAAUUUUAAUUUAAUUUUAUUAAUUUAAAAUUAUUUUAUUGGGGUGAUAGGAAAAUUAAUAUAACUUUUUUAAAUUUAUUACAUAAAUUAAUGAUUUUUUGAUCCUAUUUUUUAGAUUGUUAGAUUAAGUUACCUUAGGGAUAACAGCGUUAUUUUUUUUUAGAGUUCAUAUUAAUAAAAAAGAUUGC